rnacentral:rRNA from 1 species
AGUGAACGCUGGCGGUAGGCCUAACACAUGCAAGUCGAACGGCAGCACAGUAAGAGCUUGCUCUUACGGGUGGCGAGUGGCGGACGGGUGAGGAAUACAUCGGAAUCUACUUUUUCGUGGGGGAUAACGUAGGGAAACUUACGCUAAUACCGCAUACGACCUACGGGUGAAAGCAGGGGAUCUUCGGACCUUGCGCGAUUGAAUGAGCCGAUGUCGGAUUAGCUAGUUGGCGGGGUAAAGGCCCACCAAGGCGACGAUCCGUAGCUGGUCUGAGAGGAUGUUCAGCCACACUGGAACUGAGCCACGGUCCAGACUCCUACGGGAGGCACCAGUGGGGAAUAUUGGACAAUGGGCGCAAUCCUGAUCCAGCCAUACCGCGUGGGUGAAGAAGGCCUUCGGGUUGUAAAGCCCUUUUGUUGGGAAAGAAAAGCAGCAGGUUAAUACCCCGCUGUUCUGACGGUACCCAAAGAAUAAGCACCGGCUAACUUCGUG